AGGGGCUUGGGCCCAAGGCGCAAAAUCAUAACGGUCGAACGAAAGCCAUUAUCACAGCCUCCGAACGGAUAGCCGUUUAUUCCCGUCUUUUCUACGCGUAAUCCACCUUUUUUAAGGAUUUGAUGGCAGAAAAUGGAUUGAAGUAAAAGGACAUUAUGAUAGAGAUAGUAAAAUGUGCUCGAGUUGCAAAGCCAGAAAAGAAAGAAGUUUGAGGUAUAAGGAAUGUAUCAAUGCGUAAAUCGCAAGAAACGAAUAAAAACUUCGUAAACUUAAGUUAUUCACUAAUCACUGUACUUACAUCUAAAGCGCCUAUGCUUUAUAAAAUGUUACUUGAAGCACAAAAUUGAAUAACUUAGCUUAGUAAAAACCUAGUAAUCAGUCUUGCACCUAAAAUUUGUCCAGAUAUUUAUUUUGAAUAUCUAAUGUUAGUUUUGUUGGUUUUUGUCCGUAUAUUCUGAUCACAGUAAACCCUGCAUAUGAAGAACCUAGUUAUCUUUUCAAGCUAGCCUACCAGGUUCAAAUUUAAAUGGUGCAUAUAGAGGCAUUAGGCUUCUAGCUUCUUAUCUGAAUAUACAAAGAUGGAGGAGGUGGCAGUUCUUUUGGAAAACCGUAAUGACGCCAAAAAGGGUAAUGUUCAAAAGCUGUUAAAGUUGUUAUAG